GCAACCCUCGACCUUAGUUGCCAGCAUUCAGUUGGGCACUCUAAGGUGACUGCCGGCUAAAAGUCGGAGGAAGGUGGGGAUGACGUCAAAUCAUCAUGCCCCUUAUGACCUGGGCUACACACGUGCUACAAUGGGCGGUACAAAGGGUCGCGAACCCGCGAGGGGAGCCAAUCCCAAAAAGCCGCUCUCAGUUCGGAUUGCAGGCUGCAACUCGCCUGCAUGAAGCCGGAAUCGCUAGUAAUCGCGGAUCAGCAUGCCGCGGUGAAUACGUUCCCGGGCCUU
rnacentral:rRNA from 1 species